rnacentral:rRNA from 1 species
UCAAAAACAUCUCUCCUUGUCAGUAUUAGGAGUAGGCCCUGCCCGGUGUCUAAACUUAGAUAAACGGCGGUGUUAAACCUUAAAGUAGCAUAAUAAGUUGCCCUUUAAUUGGGGGAUGGAAUGAAUGGGUUGACGAUGGAAAGACUGUCUCCGGAAGAGAUAUUGAAAUUUUCUUCCUAGUGAAAAGCCUGGGAUGUCGUUGAAAGACGAGAAGACCCCGUCGAGCUUGAAUAAGCUGUCUUCGUUAGCAGGCUGUCUUAAAGUUUUGUUGGGGCAACAGGGGAGAAAUAAAACCUCUCUUUUUUGAUGAUAAAGAUCCAUAUUUUAUGAUAAGAAGAAAAAGCUACCGCGGGGAUAACAGCGUAAGACUGCCUGGGAGGCCUUAUCUAAGGCAGUAAGUGCGACCUCGAUGUUGGCUUAGGGUAAACUUUUUGGUGCAGGAGCUAAAAGAGUAGGAACUGUUCGUCCUUUAAUCCCCUA